UUAGGUUUCUGGCUAUUUUUUUUUGUGUUCCAGCUAAUCUUGGCCCAUCAGAACUAUUCAUUCAUCAACUAGGUUUGUCCUUCUGCGUGGUUACUGUUCACUCUCUGUUCAUUCACGCGGCUUCGUACCAAAUGGAAUGGGUGAGGCUUGUACGAUAGAAAAGGGGUUUCUUGAAUGAAGAAGGAGACAACUUGCUCUCUUUGCAGGAGUACAGGAAGCAGAAGCACAAAUCAUGGGAGAAGGUUCAAUUUCGUCAGAUGAAUAGUUAACCUACCCCUAUGCCGGCUUUGCGAAUGACCUUCUACUUGUAGAGGUAUGGGUAUGGGUUUUCAUUUUUUAAUAUUAAGGUUUUCAUCCCAAGCUCUCUAUAAAUACUGCCAUUGUUAUCAUGUUUUUGCUGUUUGUUAUGGCUGGAUCAUUGAAUCCCCUGCGCUCCAUAUGCAUUGGGAGAGAUCCUGCAAGAGAUACUUGGAGAGUCAAGGUUCGCAUUCUUCGUAUUUGGUAGAUGUUUCCAGUUGGUGAACCCUCAAAACCAUAUGUUGUGCAUCUUGUGCUUAUUGAUGGAGAAGUUAUAUACCAGUGCUGUUAUUUCUUUUUUGUUAGUCAUCUUAUAGUUUCUACAUGUAUAUAAUAUCAAUUAUCCUUUUUGUACUCAAGGUCAUCUAUUCAAGUUCUCUAUAAAUACUGGCAUGGUUUAUCUGUUUUACCCAUCUUGUUUCUGUGUUUGUUCCUUUGGUAGUAGUAUCUAAGCUCAACACACCCCUCCUUUAUCUUUUUUGAUUUCGUCUGAUUGAUGAACUAUGAACAUCUGAAAAUACGCCCCCCUCAUCCGGCAUACAUGAAAAUAUGCUUGAAAAUUGUUAACCUCGGGUUGGAUGAUAUUUGCAAUAGACGAGAAUAUCUGAAAAUUGUUAACCUCGGGUUGAAUGAUAUUUGUUGGUCGAGAUAUAUGCUUGAAUUUAGAGUUGAUUUGGUUUUUGUUACCUAUGAACAUAAUAUUGGAGGUGGCUUAAUCUUUUAUUUGUAGGCUAUUCUAGAGGAGCUAAGAACGGAUUUGGACAAGGCUAGGAAAGGAAAGCCCCCUUCAAAGAGUCCAGAUGGAAAUUUAUGAUCUUCAUUUUUAUUGUUUCAGUUUUAAUGUUUUCUGAUCAAGUGGGUAAUGUUGACUGUUUGCUAAUUUAAGUAGAUUGAAAAUGAAAAUAUUUUAGUGAGCGCUGUUUAUAAUCUCAAAUUUUGAAUUUUCUUAUAGAAUGGUUGGCCAUGUAUUUUAGUAUCGAGCUCAAUUUUGAACUAAGAAGCAUAAUUUCUUCCUCGGAUUUUUUUCUCCACUAUGCAUUAUCUUAACAAACAGUUUGCUGAACUGAAGCUUUUCCUGUGAACAUUAAACCCUAAACCCUGAUACUAGAGUCAAAUCAACCACAAAGAGGAAAGAAUGAGGCAACGAUGGUUUUCAAUUUCCAGAAGAACAACUCAAUGUUUUGUUAAUCUUUCUAUGCUAGAAAGAAUUAGAUGCUCUCUUAGCAACAGAGAAGACCCUCAAAUCAUAUUCCAUCUUAUUUAUCUAUAUUUGUUUUCACUCUUUCUAGAGACAUCUCAAAGGAAUGUGUCGUAAGAGAAAUGGAAGAGAAAAUGUACUAAAGUUUGAAAAUCAAAACGGUUGAUGGUGAAGAAAAAUGAGGUAUUGGAAUAAUCAAGGAAUUGUCACUACCUUACCAUCUUCAAGAUGCAAUUUUGGAUGUAGGUGCAUAAGAGCCCACGUGUUCUCGAGCUGGACAAAAGUCAGUUGUUAGAUGAGAGAAGAUCAUCAUUGUCUUAUGGUUUAUUCAUCUAUUUAUCGAGGUGAUUGGGUACAAAAGAUGACGAAGGUUACCUGUGAUUUUGGCGAUACAAUGUAGAAAGAGGCAGUGUCUUCUA